GCGCUGUUAGUUUAGUGGUAGAACAGCUGGCUUCCAACCAGCAAACGGGAGUUCGAUUCUCCCACGGCGCA
rnacentral:tRNA from 1 species